rnacentral:rRNA from 1 species
CUUAGUAACGGCGAGUGAAGCGGUAAAAGCUCAAAUUUGAAAUCUGGUACUUUCAGUGCCCGAGUUGUAAUUUGUAGAAUUUGUCUUUGAUUAGGUCCUUGUCUAUGUUCCUUGGAACAGGACGUCAUAGAGGGUGAGAAUCCCGUUUGGCGAGGAUACCUUUUCUCUGUAAGACUUUUUCGAAGAGUCGAGUUGUUUGGGAAUGCAGCUCAAAGUGGGUGGUAAAUUCCAUCUAAAGCUAAAUAUUGGCGAGAGACCGAUAGCGAACAAGUACAGUGAUGGAAAGAUGAAAAGAACUUUGAAAAGAGAGUGAAAAAGUACGUGAAAUUGUUGAAAGGGAAGGGCAUUUGAUCAGACAUGGUGUUUUUUGCAUGCACUCGCCUCUCGUGGGCUUGGGCCUCUCAAAAAUUUCACUGGGCCAACAUCAAUUCUGGCAGCAGGAUAAAUCAUUAAGAAUGUAGCUACUUCGGUAGUGUUAUAGCUUUUUGGAAUACUGUUAGCCGGGAUUGAGGACUGCGCUUCGGCAAGGAUGUUGGCAUAAUGGUUAAAUGCCGCCCGUCUUGAAACACGGACCAAA